AUUUUGGGUUGGGUUGUCAUAAUUUCAUUCACCACUAGAUGUCCCUAGGGUACUCAUUUGAAGCUUCGAGCACGAACCACUUUGGUGGUUCAUCUGGCUGAGAGGCUUUGACGUUUCAUGAGGCAUCAUCUCGGCACCACUACUGGGGACAGCUAUAUGGUGCGGGGCGUGUGCGAGUUGCGCCGUGGCGUUUCCGCCAAAUCAAUUAUCUUUUUUGGAAUAUAUAAUUUGUAAGUUGUGGCGGGUAUAGACGCACGAAUAUUAAAUAAGGUGUUGUAGUUUAAUUCAUUUAAGAUAUGUUUGUUUUGACCAGUUUUGGUGCAUAUUUUGUUGAUUUGAUAUGUAAACACCCCCGCUGAUAUUUGAGGGAUUGGUAUGCACCAAUCUCGGGUCAGCCCAUAUAAAGGAGCCGUGUCAGUCCUGAUGGGGGAGCUAGAAGGCAGAAGCUAGGCCAUGCUCUGUGUAUAUGCUUUGGAAAAUGUAAAUAAAAUGAAUUUUUGCUGCACCACUGCCUUUUGUGCUGAUCCUAAGAUCGCUCGACAUUCUACCCCUUGACAGGGCCAUCAGAGGCAUCUGCACGAACUUAAAGGUUCCAAUGUUCAAUCCAGCUGAAUUUGCCUUCCUUCCAAAGAUAUGCCGCUGCCCAACCCGGUAUCACGUGAUGUCGUGCUCAUGCACACAAACGUUAAGGCAACACUUCUGAGGGGCUAUGUCCAAAUCACAGCCCAUUUGGGAAAACUUUUUUUAGAGAACUCCAAAUCUCGGAUAUGUUGUUCUCAGGACCCCGGGAAAUGUGUGUAAACAUUUUGGAAUCUAUAGCUAUCUCGAAAAGGCCGGAUAGGGGCGUGACCUCCAAGUAGAGUAAAUGUAUGUAAGACAGAGGUUAGUUUCUAGUCCCCAUUUUUUGUGGGAUGAAGUUAUACAUUUGUGGCUUAAGGUGUGUAGACACAGCUGGCCUAUGGCCAAGGUUUUGAAGACUGGGGUCAAAAGGUCAAAAGGAGCCGGCACCACGCCGCUUAUGAGAUAACAAAAAGUGAAUGUGCAUUUCUCUCAUAACUUUAUGUCAUUAUUAAAGAGAGGCCCAGGCUUGUGGACAGUAGGGGUGUACACUAGACAUAAAUAGGAAGCAAACUCAGGAGGAGGAAUGACCUCGCAGACAUAUUUAGUUAAUUGUUUCAAAUAAGCCUGCAUCGUUAAAUCAAUGAGCUUGGUGUUUUGCUUUCAAAAAUAGGUUAUAGACGAAGUCUAAACUGCAGAAAAUAAAAACAUCCAAGGUGCCUUUAGAAGGAAACCUUGGAAUAUCAGACUAUUUUUUAUCCAUCGGACCCUAGUUUACGACAAAAAACAACACAAUUGACGGCAGCUCCGUGCCGCGUGGUUUUUAGAGCCAUGCAAGGGGCGGAGGGGGCGGUCGAUAGCAACCACCAUAACAACCAUGACAGUCAAG
ensembl:lncRNA